GAAAAGACUAAUGAUAUUAAAGCAGAGUUAUGAAAAUUGAAAAUUAAAAUUACGUGGAGGUAUAUGUUUGCUAGUAAUAAUAUGGACAAAAGAAAAAAAGUAAUAAAUUUGGAAUAUUGAGGUUAUAUAUAUAAGAACAAGAGAAGGGUGGCGGAAUCCAAUGGUAACCCUAAUUCGAAAUUAGUUAGUGAAAUGAAUGAGGUAUUGCAUCUACUUUAUACAAAGUAAGGUAGGAAAAUGCAUAGUAGUACCCCCC
rnacentral:lncRNA from 1 species